rnacentral:tRNA from 1 species
GCCACGGUGGUCUAGCGGUUAGAACGCUGGCCUUGUAAUCCUGGGGUCUCGGGUUCGAUUCCCGGCGUGCCC